GCCAGAAGCACUUUCUCUCCAGUAUUGUAACUUGUCCAAUGCAAAUGUCCUCAAAGCCGCAAUUUUGCAUAACAAAGAGACAGCAAUUAUAGUGUGUGUAUAGCCAGGUGCGCCAAAGCUUUCAUCCCUCACUUUGGUUAGUGAUCCUAAGCAAGCUCCAGCAACUAAGAGAAUAAGAUAAUCCAUUGCUUGCAUUUUUGCUUCUCGUAAUCUUUGCUUACCUAACCUUCCAAUGAAAUACUUAUAUUGCAGAAGAACAUUUGGAGUUCUCCGGUUGGAGAGGUCCUUUGUCCUCAUAAAGUUGUGCAGUAUAAUAUCACGUUGGCGCUCCACGUUAGUCUUCAUG
rnacentral:misc_RNA from 1 species